rnacentral:rRNA from 1 species
UUCCUACGGGAGGCAGCAGUGGGGAAUAUUGGACAAUCGGCGAAAGCCUGAUCCAACAAUGCCGCGUGAGUGAUGAAGGCCUUAGGGUUGUAAAGCUCUAUUACCAGGGAUGAUAAUGACAGUACCUGGAGAAUAAGCUCCGGCUAACUCCGUGCCAGCAGCCGCGGUAAU